UACGGAGGGUGCAAGCGUUGUCCGGAAUCACUGGGCGUAAAGGGCGCGUAGGCGGCCUGGUAAGUAGGGGGUGAAAUCCUGCGGCUUAACCGCAGGGCUGCCUUCUAAACUGUCAGGCUUGAGCACGGUAGAGGCAGAUGGAAUUCCCGGUGUAGCGGUGGAAUGCGUAGAGAUCCGGAAGAACACCGGUGGCGAAGGCGGUCUGCUGGGCAGUUGCUGACGCUGAUGCGCGACAGCGUGGGGAGCAAACAGG
rnacentral:rRNA from 1 species